rnacentral:rRNA from 1 species
UGGAUUGAGACAACGUACAAACCUUAUCGAUAAACAAUUGGAGGGCAAGUCUGGUGCCAGCAGCCGCGGUAAUUCCAGCUCCAAUAGCGUAUAUUAACGUUGUUGCAGUUAAAAAGCUCGUAGUUGAAAUGAAGGGUAGUUGUGUAAUGAAUACAUUCGUGUAUUUUGUUAUUCUACUACCCUCCUUCUAAAUUCGAUAUAUGAGUAUUAAUUUACUUGUAUAUGGUUUUAGACUUUUACUGUGAGAAAAUUAGAGUGUUCAAAGCAGGCAUUUGCUUGAAUAUAUUAGCAUGGAAUAAUCAUGUAUGAUUUUCAUGAUGUAUUUGAUUGGUUUGGUUCAUGAGAAUAAGAUUAAAAGGGACAGUUGGGGGUAUUCAUAUUCAAUAGUCAGAGGUGAAAUUCUCGGAUUUAUGGAAGAUGAACAAGUGCGAAAGCAUUUACCAAGGAUGUUUUCAUUAAUCAAGAACGAAAGUUAGGGGAUCGAAGAGGAUUAGAUACC